AUUAGCUGGGCCUCAGGUUCGGCUCUGUCUCGAGGGGAGGGUGACGGGCAGGGCAGGGACUGAGUUGGGGGGGUCGCGGUGGAAGGCUUCAGUGACAGGGCUAAGAAUAACAGCUUCCAUCAGGCCUGACACCCUCUCCCACUUGCCAUCGCUCAAGUUGUUCCGGGUGUGCGGGAGACAGACAGACAGAUACAGCGUGUCUGCAUGGGGCUAGCUCCCGUGGCCCCAACGUGCGCCGGCUCCAGGGGUCACCUUGCCAGGUGAGGCCCCAAUUGAGUCUGACAUUGUCUUCACCUGAGAGCACCCUGGCGGCCACUUUGGUUUUGAUCACAGGCAGCCCGGCACAGGGCAGCCGCGGCCUAUUCACCUGAACUGCCAGCCUGCGGCCCAGAUGCUAACAACACAGAGUAUGAGAGAGUGUCCUAUCCAGCUAAGAACAGGGUCUCGCCAGGACCCUGGGCCUGAACAGAUUUAUGUAAGAAGAAAGGCAACGUAGAUUUGGCAGAGCCAGUCUCCCUAACAGCAAUGUGAGUGGUCCCUGAUCAAUCAGGCUUUGGGGCUGAAAGGGCCUCUCUCCUUGCUUCCUUCUGCCUGGGGGGAUGAGAAGAAGGGGAUAAUUACUAUGAUUAUUAUGAACGUCGGUAUCCCUUAUACUUUUGUGUGUUGUAAAGGCACUAACAGUUACCAUUUAUCAGUGGCCUACUGUGCACCAGACAAUGAAAUAGGUGCUCUGUGUAUUUGAUCAGGCCUAUAAGAGAGGCCGUGAGGUCCAGAUUACAGAUGAGGAAACUGACACUCAUUCCCUUGACUAAGGCCACAUAGUAAGAUGCAGAACAAGGAUUUGCGCCCAGGGCCCCACGUCGUUCCCUGGGCGCAGGUGACAAGCUG
ensembl:lncRNA